rnacentral:rRNA from 1 species
GAUGAACGCUGGCGGCGUGCCUAAUACAUGCCAGUCGAGCGAACAGACGAGGAGCUUGCUCCUCUGACGUUAGCGGCGGACGGGUGAGUAACACGUGGAUAACCUACCUAUAAGACUGGGAUAACUUCGGGAAACCGGAGCUAAUACCGGAUAAUAUAUUGAACCGCAUGGUUCAAUAGUGAAAGACGGUUUUGCUGUCACUUAUAGAUGGAUCCGCGCCGCAUUAGCUAGUUGGUAAGGUAACGGCUUACCAAGGCAACGAUGCGUAGCCGACCUGAGAGGGUGAUCGGCCACACUGGAACUGAGACACGGUCCAGACUCCUACGGGAGGCAGCAGUAGGGAAUCUUCCGCAAUGGGCGAAAGCCUGACGUAGCAACGCCGCGUGAGUGAUGAAGGUCUUCGGAUCGUAAAACUCUGUUAUUAGGGAAGAACAAAUGUGUAAGUAACUAUGCACGUCUUGACGGUACCUAAUCAGAAAGCCACGGCUAACUACGUG